AUUGAACGCUGGCGGCAGGCCUAACACAUGCAAGUCGAACGAGUGGCGGACGGGUGAGUAAUGUCUGGGAAACUGCCUGAUGGAGGGGGAUAACUAAUGGAAAAGGUAGCUAAUACCGCAUACCAUCGGUUGUGCACAGAUGGGAUUAGCUAGUAGGUGGGGUAAUGGCGCACCUAGGCGACGAUCCCUAGCUGGUCUGAGAGGAUGACCAGCCACACUGGAACUGAUCCACGGUCCAGACUCCUACGGGAGACAGCAGUGGGGAAUAUUGCACAAUGGGCGCAAGCCUGAGGCAGCCAUGCCGCGUGGGUGAAGAAGGCCUGCGGGUUGUAAAGCACUUUCAGCGGGGAGGCGUUACCCGCAGAAGAAGCACAGGCUAACUCCGUGCCAGCAGCCGCGGUAAUAC
rnacentral:rRNA from 1 species